rnacentral:piRNA from 1 species
UGAACAAUUCGGUGCACCAAAAACAGACAA